UACGUAGGGUGCGAGCGUUAAUCGGAAUUACUGGGCGUAAAGCGCGUGUAGGCAGCUAGGAAAGUCGGAUGUGAAAGCCCUGGGCUCAACCCAGGAAGUGCAUUCGAAACUUCCGAGCUUGAGUUCUGGAGAGGAAGGCGGAAUUCUCGGUGUAGAGGUGAAAUUCGUAGAUAUCGAGAGGAACACCGGUGGCGAAGGCGGCCUUCUGGACAGUGACUGACGCUGAGACGCGAAAGCGUGGGGAGCAAACAGG
rnacentral:rRNA from 1 species